rnacentral:rRNA from 1 species
GAUGAACGCUGGCGGCGUGCCUAAUACAUGCAAGUCGAGCGAACAGACGAGGAGCUUGCUCCUCUGACGUUAGCGGCGGACGGGUGAGUAACACGUGGAUAACCUACCUAUAAGACUGGGAUAACUUCGGGAAACCGGAGCUAAUACCGGAUAAUAUAUUGAACCGCAUGGUUCAAUAGUGAAAGACGGUUUUGCUGUCACUUAUAGAUGGAUCCGCGCCGCAUUAGCUAGUUGGUAAGGUAACGGCUUACCAAGGCAACGAUGCGUAGCCGACCUGAGAGGGUGAUCGCCCACACUGGAACUGAGACAGGGUCCAGACUCCUACGGGAGGCAGCAGUGGGGAAUCUUCCGCAAUGGGCGAAAGCCUGACGGAGCAACGCCGCGUGAGUGAUAAAGGUCUUCGGAUCGAAAAACUCUUUUAUUAGGGAAAAAAAAAUGUUAAAGUAACUAUGCACGUCUUGACGGUACCUAAUCAGAAAGCCACGGCUAACUACGUG